CAUGAUUCUCCCACUCCAGACAGACGCAGGUUAUGAUCUUCCCUGAGUAAAUGGAAGGUGCAAGCAGAAAUUACUUGGAAGGAUGCUAAAGCAAAGAAGGCUUGCAAAAAUGUAAAGGACUCAUGAAGUAGUGCAAGUGCACCAAUUACUUCAAGAGGAAGAUGGGCAUUGAAGAGGUUCCUUAUGGAGUUGGUUAGCCACUUGGGCAAAAAACUGCUCUUUCCCGGACUGCUUAACUGGACAUGCAGUACCCGCAGAGAAAUGACUGCUUGCUUAACUUGCCUAAAAGUGAGACAAUCCUUUCGGAUUCCUGCUUCAUGAAAGAGUCUGCGAGAUGUUAUGCAGGAUACAGAAGAAGGUGACUGACAAACUGCCAAUAUAGGUAUAACUGUCUUUGAAAUUCCCUGCUUCGCUAUACAAUCAAAAAAAGAAAAAAGAAAAGAAAAGAAAAAGGGAUUUCCUGUUUCAUGGAAAAGUCUGCUAGAUACUAUGGGCCUGUAGGCUGAAUAUGGAUAUCCCAACAGGGCUACCAAAGAAGAACUUUGGGUAGCUGACGAGACAGCAAGAUGUAUCUAGAAUUCAAAAACAAUUCUAGAGUUUUGGAAGUUCCUUACAAUGCACUUCCUGUUUACUUAGGUAAUAUUAUAUACUUCUGGAGUCUUUGAUGGAGUUGAAGAAUUUAUAGUUAUAGUUUUCCUUAGUUAUGAUAAAAGAUAAAGUAGAUAUAAAUAUUGUAACUGCAAUUCUUGCCUGAUAACUAUUUUGUUAUAUGUAAUUUUACUAAGUUAAAGCCUUCCUACUUGUUUAAACAGAAAAGGGAAAAAAGGAGACUGUGUCAAAAAUAAACUAAAUGGCUCCUGUAGAUAACCCUUGAGAUAGUCUACUGGGCUCAGGUGUCAUGCAUAUACUGUACUACACACACACACACACACACACACACACACACACACACACAAUAACAGCAUAUAGUAAAGUGCUUAUCAAGUAUAAAUUGGAUUACUGCAUCUCUCAUCCUUCAUCGGAGAAGAUUUUUCUUGCAGUAGAUGACAUUCAACUGAUCAACAUGAAGAGAAUAAAAGAGUUAGAAGUGCUCAGUCCUAUGUCACACCCCUCCUCACAAGGCUUGGUGAUCAUCUCAGAAGGGACAGAAAGACUCAAAGAAUCAGAAGAGGUGGAUGACUUGAAGGUGAAAAAAUAUCUGACCUUUUGUAAAUACCAUCUCAUUCUCCAAAAUGCAAAUAUCCAAAAAGAACUUACCUAUGAAACCUAUAAAUGGGGUUUUGUAUAAUCUCAUUAUUGCGUACCUGAUUUUAAAAAUACUUGAAGAGUAGAAGAAACGACAAUAUGAGCAAAGAGGUCAAGACCAUGAAGAAUUCAUCCACUGAAACAGUUUACUUGAGCUAAUAGGAACCCACCAACUCCAGCUGGACUGGGAAUGAAAAAACAUAGGACCAAACUAGUUUCUCUGAAUGUGGCUGACAAUUGUAUGACUGGGGCAGACUGAGGGGUCAGUGACAGUACCAGUAGGAUUUAUCUCUCCUGCAUGGACUGGAUUGUUGGGAUCCCAUUCUCUUUGGAUGUAUACCUUGCUCAGCCUAGAUGUAGUAGGGAGGGCCUUGGACUUUCCACAAAGAAAAGUGUCUUACGUUCUCCUAGGAUUAGAGGGGAGUGGGGUAGGAGGUUGUGUGGAGGGCAUGGGAGGAAGGGAAGAAGUGGGAAUUUGGGUAGGUAUUUCUUUUUAAAUCUAACAAAAAAGUAAAACAAAAAUAUAUGAAAGGGACACAAAAAGAAAAGGAAAUUUAUUUUAUCAACUGUGGAAGAGCUUGUUAGGCUGGCUUGGAUGAUUGGCGAACCCACUUCCAAGAAGGAACUAUAGCUAAGGCAAAUACUCAGGAGUAGACAGUGCAGGGAUAUUGGGAUCUGUGACUUAAAAGCACGUACCUGUCAACAUAAUUUGAUAAUUGCAAAAAAAGUAGACAAAAAUCUCCCUGUAACAGCUUAAUAAGUAUAUGCUGCAAACACACAUAGAUAUCCAACUGUACUGGAUUUAACUGUGUAAACAACAUUGAAUCUCAUUUAGAGAUGGGUAGAUUUCCUCUAAUUUAGAAUUUCUUACUGAUCACUUUCCGUUAUUAGAAAAGAGGGACUGCCUUGGUUUAAGUAGCACCUACUUAGGUUAUGGCUGCCUAAUCAUAUGCAAAUGAAAAUCAGAUAAACUCCACCCUCACACAAGGCAUCAGCAGGGGGUCAAUUUCCAGCCUGGAAAUAAUAACCUAACAAGUGCGCUCUCCCCUGGGGUGGUAGUCCCCGGCUGCCACAGGCACGUUUUGCCUCUCUCCAGAUGGUGUGCCUUUGGAGCUGCUCUUGGGAGGUCAUUAACCUACAGAGGGGACAUUUGGUGCCUUUUGCUGUUUUACUUAAGAAGGCACAGAGAUGAGUUUUAAGUGAGAGCAUUGCUUGUUUCGCUUUCCAGACUGGAUAUGGGUAUAACGAACUUCCCCCGACUCUAAAUCCAGGGAUCUAACUGAAAAGCAAGGCUCAGGGCCUGAAGGUGGAACUUUUCAUGAAUUCACCUGGAUCAAAGUGGCAAAUUUAGAGUGAUAACAACUAUGCUAAAGUGGGGGAAAGUAGUGUCCAUUCUUCUCUGAAACCAUUUUAAUUACCUAGUCAACCAUAUAUUCAUUUUACAGAAGUACAUUAUGUAAAUUCAUGGCUUAAGACACACAAAACAACUCUAGGACCUGUGAGGUAAAUUGAACAAAUUAUGUCCCAUUUUUAAGAUUAUCAGUCUGAGGUUUAGGGAAAUUAAAUAACAUAUCCACAAAUGUAUGGUUAAGCCAGAACUAGAGUUACAGCAUACCAAUUUCUGUCUAUUUUAGACUUUAGUCUGUGAAGAAAUUCUUCAUCUUUCCAAACAGAACUGAGGGAAGAGAUAUUCCACUCUUUCAACUUAACAUCACUUCCCCCGCUUAUAAGAGUUGAAAUUUGCUCUUUCAUUCUGUUUGUCUAUUUCCAGAGCUCGAUAUUUCAUAGUUAUAACUGAGAUUUAGCAUAAAGAGUUAAUGAAGUGGUAAAAGGUCAUGUGUUCUGAUCAGUACAUAAUUUAGAAUUUGAAAUCCUAGGGGAAAGGUCCAAAAUUUGGUGGGUUUUUUUUUCUUACAAAGAACCAUUAAAAGGGAUGAACAAAAGGAUAUUGAUAACUAUUAUAAAAAGAAGAAAUUUGAAAAAUAAUAAUAAAUCACUCAUUUUGCCUAUGAGCCAUCUAAGUAAUAUAGCCAGACUCUUGUCUAUGAAAACUACAUGGAAAAAUCCUUUACUACUGCUUGGUUCACCAUGUGCACACACAUACACACACAUACUCAGACUUACUCCAUCAAUCUUCUCUACCAGUAGAUUUAUUUUCAAUUUUUUGAUUUUACAUUCCAACCACAGUUCUUCAUCCUACCCCUCCUUCAGCACCCUCAUCUCCCCUCCAACACACCCUCCAUCCACUCCUUCCAACAGGUAAGGGCUCUCGUGGGGAGUCAACAAAGUCUGGCACAUUAAGUUGGAGCAGGACCAAGUCCUUUCCCCACUUCAAAAAGGCAGAUUAUGGCAUCCCACCAUAGGGAAUGGGCUCCAACAAGCUAGCUUAAGCACUGGUAGAGCUCCUGGUCCUACUGCGAGGGGCACCUCAGAUAGUUCAAGCGUCACCACUGUCACCCAUAUAUGGAGGGCCUAGUUUGGGCCCAUGGGGGCUCCACAGCUGCUGGUCUAGAGUUCAUGAUUUGCCACGAGCUUGGUUCAGCUGUCUCUGUAGAUUUCUCCAUCAUGAUCUUGAUCUUUCUUGCUCAUAUAUUCCCUCCUCCCUCUCUUUGAUUAGAUUCCCAGAGCUCAAUCUUGUGCUUGGUUGUGAAUUUCUGCAUCUGGUUCCAUCUGUCCAUCUGCUCCUUCCACCAGUAGAUUUUAUAUAAUCUAUUCAGUAACAUAGAUCAAACAAUUAAGACUUAUCCCUCAUUCAUUUUCUCAUACCCACAUUCAAUUUAUCACCAAGUCCUAUUGUUUCUGUAUAUCCAAACUGUAACCAGAAUCCAACAAUUUCUUAUCACCACAAUAACUACCUCACUUCCAUCUUUUCUCUUAUUACCUCUAUCCCACAGACAGCAGUGCACACCAUACACACCACUUAAAGCUUUUCACUAUCUUCCCAAUAUACUCUGCAUACUCACUAGACUCUACAAGUCCUAGCUUUUUACCUACCAUUCACAGUUCCAUAUCAUGUAAUACCCCCACAUGCUCAACAUUCUUCAAUUAUACUGACGUUGUUCCCCUUAUAUGUAAUCUCUUGUUCUUUGUAUCGGUUAUGCCUUUCUACAUAUCCUUAAUUUAUACAUUUACAAAGUUUCUUAUUAUUUAGAUCAUCUCUAAAACCAUUCAUUCUGAAAACUCUGCAUUCAUCGUCUCAGUGAUUAUUUCCUUUCUAUUGUUUUCUACUAUUGUCCAUUAUAUUACUUCAUUUUAUUUAUAUCAUAUUACUUAAUAGUCAUCUGAUUUUUGUUUGUUUCAUUUAUAUAUUUUGUCUCUUUUUUUCCAAAAUGUAAGCCAUGUUAGAGCAGAGACCUCUUGUUAAAUUAAUGCUAUAUUCUUGAAAUGUCAAACAUAUUUGAAUAUACACACUGUAAAUUCACAGUGUACAUUAAUUGACAGAACGAACGAAUGAACAAAUUAUAGCUUGAAGAGAGGCCAUUAAUUAUCAAGUGAAGGCAGCAGUAACAUCCUGAAUGACUGUAGCUGACUAAGCUACAUAUUACACAAGGAUAUUCAGAUACUCUCCUUUCAGUGUGGAAAAAAAUUUAUGAAGGAUUAUCAACUUGUUGGUUAGUUUGUAAAGGUGUUCUCUUCUUUAGAAAGAAAUAGAGAUAACGAAAUAGUCUCCUUGUUUCGAUACAGCCUUUCUUAAAGUCCUUGCAAACAUAGAUUUUUUUUAAAUCUCUCUCUAUAUAUUCCUUUGCCACGAAGUAUAGUAUGAUUUGUUGCUAAAAGUGCUAGUAAACUAAUCAUAUUUACUAAGUUCCUGAGACUGCUCUCUGGGUAUCAUGAUUAAAAUUUUCAUAUAAAUUAA